rnacentral:rRNA from 1 species
UGGGGAAUAUUGGACAAUGGGGGAAACCCUGAUCCAGCAACGCCGCGUGGAGGAAGAAGGUCUUCGGAUCGUAAACUCCUGUCAGGUGGGACGAACGUACGUUGGCGAAUAGCCAGCGUGCUUGACGGUACCGCCAGAGGAAGCCCCGGCUAACUCCGUGCCAGCAGCCGCGGUAAUACGGAGGGGGCUAGCGUUAUUCGGAAUUAUUGGGCGUAAAGGGCGCGUAGGCGGCUUUGCGUGUCAAAGGUGAAAUCCCUCGGCUCAACCGAGGAACUGCCUUUGAAACUGCAUUGCUUGAGGCCGGGAGGGGCCAGUGGAAUUCCCAGUGUAGCGGUGAAAUGCGUAGAUAUUGGGAGGAACACCAGUGGCGAAGGCGACUGGCUGGACCGGUUCUGACGCUGAUGCGCGAAAGCGUGGGGAGCAAACAGGAUUAGAUACCCCCGUAGUCC